rnacentral:lncRNA from 1 species
GCUCCCCCUGAACUCAGCGUGCUUGUAAACCAAAUUGGUUACAACAGGCGGUGACGUGGUUUUCUUGUUUGACUCCUGCCGUGUUUCUAAGUUUUCACGUGAUUUUGUUUGACUCUGCCAGACCAGGUUGGGAGCUCCAUCAUCAUCUUCUUCCUCGCCAACGUAUAUCAAAUGCAGUUCUUCGGCCCAGCAAAGCGCCUGAGGAGGAGGAGCCAGCGAGGAGCCAGGGGUGAGCAGCCCUUUGCUUUAUGAACCACAGUGUGGGACCUCUCUCCCAUGCCUCUCCCCUGGAUGGGGGCUCCAUCUCGAUUGCUCACAUCUCAGGAUGAGCCACGUUUCUCCUUGUGAGACGGUAAAUGACAUUCAAGAAAUAACCUUGAGUCUUAAAAGCCCUCCAGAAGAAACGCUGCUCGGGUUGGGUGGCGACUUCUGGAAAAUUUUAAAUGAUACGUGUGGCUCGCAUUAUAGUUCUUUUGGACAGCGCUGGCCUGUGGGACGGUGUAAAGAUUAAGAAUGCAGCUAUGAGAGUCCAACUGCCUGAAUUCUGUUAAAGGAAAAAUUAUUCUGACACUUGUUAAAGUGACUCAGCAGAUCUUUGUUAAGACUGGGCUGGAGAGGCCCCGGGAGUUUGGUCAAGGAGAGAGUCUGUCAAUGCAAAUCCCAGCUCUGUCACUGUGCAGCCGUGGGGCCUUUUGAAACUGGAUAACCUCUCUGUGCUUCAUCUGGAAAACGGUGACCACAAAAGCGUGCAGCUCUUGUGCUCUCGGGUUGCUGGGGGCCUUCCAUGGAUGGGGUGUGCUAAGCUCUCAGCGCUUUGCCUCAAACAUCAUAAGUGCUCAGACCUGAGAUGUUGUUACUCUUCCCUCUCCCGUUGAUGAGGAUUUUUAGGCUGCUUAAUUUUAAAAUGGCUUAUGAUGAGGAUUUUUAGGCUGGUUAGUUUUAAAACUACAGAUGAGAUUCAGGCUCCAAGGAGUGGAAUUUGUUUGCCCCUUUGUUGGGAAACAUUUACAUUUCUAAGGGAAACCUCUAUCUGUGAAGAUGCCUCCCUCUCUGUGCCAGGAAGAAGGGGGAAUGGUCUUAUCUCUAGAAGCUCUUAAUGUGGAAGGCAAGAACUUAAGUUGGUUGCUGUCUGGCAAUCUCAUGUAACUGAUUUAGGGUGGUGGCUUCUGACCUUUACUUAAUCCGAUUUGAUUCUUGUCUAAAAGUCAUGGGAUCACCCAACGACCAGACCCCACCUGCACUGAUACCAUUUUAACUUUUUUACAUAUUCUUUGUCUUGUAAAGAGAUAACUCACAUACCUAUGCCUUAAAUUUAGCCCUAACCCUCAACUCGGGGCAGCAGCAGCUCUGACUGCCAGUGGGUCCUGUCCCCACACACCAGCUCUGCCUGCCCAUGGGUCCUGUCCCCAUGCCAGCAGGGGCAGCAGAAGCAGCAGCAGCAGCAACUCUGACUGCCCAUGGGUCCUGUCCCC